rnacentral:tRNA from 1 species
GGGCGGAUAGCUCAGCUGGGAGAGCGCUGCCUUCACGCGGCAGAGGUCGCAGGUUCAAGCCCUGCUCCGCCCACCA